rnacentral:lncRNA from 1 species
CAGCUGCAGAAUGGGCAGACCUUGGUGGUAACUAAAAUGGAGUCAUAGUAGAAGGAAGUCUUGGGUCAUCAAUCUCUGACAAGAACCUUUCAGAGUGCUUGAUGAUAUUGCAAGUAUCAAGCUGUGCUGCAUUAAAAAAUGAUGAAUCUCUGUUCAGGAUGGAACGGAGUGUUUGGCAUCUCUACUUCAUCAUUCGUAAAGGCUGAAUGAACUCUUUGCUCCCACUUAUUGAAGAUAAAAGGAGGCAGAAUUACCCUUAAGUAAAUACUUUGGCCUCAGCCUUUCCUCCACUUUGUGCAUUAAUAAAAAUCCCUUUCUCUCA